UACGUAGGUGACAAGCGUUGUCCGGAUUUACUGGGCGUAAAGAGCGCGCAGGCGGUCGAUCAAGUCGAGUGUGAAAGCCCCCGGCUCAACUGGGGAGGGUCAUUCGAUACUGAUCGACUCGAAGGCAGGAGAGGGUAGUGGAAUUCCCGGUGUAGUGGUGAAAUGCGUAGAUAUCGGGAGGAACACCAGUGGCGAAGGCGGCUUCCUGGCCUGUUCUUGACGCUGAGGCGCGAAAGCGUGGGGAGCGAACAGG
rnacentral:rRNA from 1 species